rnacentral:rRNA from 1 species
AACGAACGCUGGCGGCAGGCUUAACACAUGCAAGUCGAGCGCCCCGCAAGGGGAGCGGCAGACGGGUGAGUAACACGUGGGAAUCUACCCAUCCCUACGGAACAACUCCGGGAAACUGGAGCUAAUACCGUAUACGCCCUUCGGGGGAAAGAUUUAUCGGGGAUGGAUGAGCCCGCGUUGGAUUAGCUAGUUGGUGGGGUAAAGGCCUACCAAGGCGACGAUCCAUAGCUGGUCUGAGAGGAUGAUCAGCCACAUUGGGACUGGGACACGGCCCAAACUCCUCCGGGAGGCAGCAGUGGGGAAUAUUGGACAAUGGGCGCAAGCCUGAUCCAGCCAUGCCGCGUGAAUGAUGAAGGCCUUAGGGUUGUAAAGUUCUUUCACCGAUGAAGAUAACGACGGUAGUCGGAGAAGAAGCCCCGGCUAACUUCGUGCCAGCAGCCGCCGUAA